rnacentral:rRNA from 1 species
UAGUCGAUGUAUGCUCCCGGAUGUUAGCGGCGGACGGGUGAGUAACACGUGGGUAGUCGAUGUAACCUGCCUGUAAGACUGGGAUAACUCCGGGAAACCGGAGCUAAUACCGGAUAGUUCCUUGAACCGCAUGGUUCAAGGAUGAAAGACGGUUUCGGCUGUCACUUACAGAUGGACCCGCGGCGCAUUAGCUAGUUGGUGAGGUAACGGCUCACCAAGGCGACGAUGCGUAGCCGACCUGAGAGGGUGAUCGGCCACACUGGGACUGAGACACGGCCAGACUCCUACGGGAGGCAGCAGUAGGGAAUCUUCCGCAAUGGACGAAAGUCUGACGGAGCAACGCCGCGUGAGUGAUGAAGGUUUUCGGAUCGUAAAGCUCUGUUGUUAGGGAAGAACAAGUGCAAGAGUAACUGCCUGCACCUUGACGGUACCUAACCAGAAAGCCACGGCUAACUACGUGCCAGCAGCCGCGGUAAUACGUAGGUGGCAAGCGUUGUCCGGAAUUAUUGGGCGUAAAGGGCUCGCAGGCGGUUUCUUAAGUCUGAUGUGAAAGCCCCCGGCUCAACCGGGGAGGGUCAUUGGAAACUGGGAAACUUGAGUGCAGAAGAGGAGAGUGGAAUUCCACGUGUAGCGGUGAAAUGCGUAGAGAUGUGGAGGAACACCAGUGGCGAAGGCGACUCUCUGGUCUGUAACUGACGCUGAGGAGCGAAAGCGUGGGGAGCGAACAGGAUUAGAUACCCUGGUAGUC